GUUAAGUCUACUGAUGAAAUUUGUUAGUCUCUGUAAAAAUCAAAAGACAUCUAGAAUUAUGUGUGUGCAUUCCUAUGUGUGUGGGAGUGUAUAUAUACACUGUGCAUGCAUGCAUGUAGAAGCCAGACGUCAACAGUGGACUCUUUCUUCCUCCCUGCCUACUGUAUUUAACACAGAUCUCUGACUGAAUCUGAACAAUUGUCUAGCCCUUCGAGCCUUGGAGCUCUACCUGUGUGUGUCCCCAGUGCAUUUGUGAAAAUCCCGACCCUUUCCAUGGAUGCUAGGGAUCUGCAUUUAGUGUCUCUGUUUGAAUAUCGAUCGAGUAUCCAACUGAGCCCUCUCUCCAGCCCCAGGACAUCUAAAGUUUUAAGCUAUGGUCUGAGCGUGAUUCAGACUCCCCCUGGGUCUGUAUUUUUGGUUUUGCUAGAACAUAUUUCAUCGGCCCUUAUGUUCAUCUUCGUAUUCGUGCGAAGGGCACUGCCUUUUGAACUGCUGUUAGGCAUUUCCUGACUCCUUUGAGUUAUUGCCAGGGAUAAGCCAGGUUCUCUCAUUACUGCCCACUCCCGCCUCAGGGUAAGAAUCAGUGCCAAACACGUAACAAAUUGUCCUGGAGAAGAACUACUACACUGGAUUUGAGUCCUUUAAGGAGAUAGAACUGAGGCCACUCUCUGUGUUGGUCAGAGGGCUCUAGGGAGAGAACACUCUAGUCCUAAAUAAAAGCUGAACUAGAGCAUCAGAUGAGGCAUACUGGCUGCCUUGAAGACUCAUCAACUCCUUGGCAGUAGAGGUAUUUAGCUCUCAGCCAGACGUUGCUGAGCAGACCAGAGGAAGAAAACAUUCCUAAGACGGGUGAGAGAUUUCUCCAUCUCCAGUGUGUGUCAUGAUAAACGCCACGUGUUCUCAAAUUCCAACCCAUGUAAUCUUGUUCCUUAAGAAGGCAAGAGCUAAGAUGCCCACCUGCUUUAUUGACUUUAUAAGAGGCUGAGAACCGUGCUGUAUUUGUGUGAAAAAAAAUGGAUAUUAUUUAUAUCAGACCCAAAUCAUGGUCAGAAGACAAUUGGAUCCUUUUCAGACCAGAUUCUCCAGAGUGUAGACAAAGCAAGGGUAAGCAAUGUCUGCAGUGGUUUGAUGAAUAUAUAUUGAUUGAUGAUUGAUUUAUCGACUUAUGUAGCUCUCUUUGGGUUCUUUAGUGUCCAACCAGAGAAAACAGAUACUUGCAGAAUUGGACUUGACUUGAGCACAAAUGGCAUUGCUCCUCUUUUCUGAUUCCUGUGGCUCCAGACUUAACCCAGAUCAGCACAAACACUGCAACCCUGGCUCCCCUGCAGUCUCAAAGUGCUCAGCAUGUAGGGCAGGUAGAGCUGUUUGUUUAAGCAUCAGGAGAAACUGGUAAUUUCACUUGCAUGUGUUGGUUCUUGUUUCAUCUCAGGAGAAGUUGAGUGUCGGAGACUUGGCCUGGAAGCCAGCCUCCAGCUCUGACGUCUGAUGGCAACCACACGAGCCAUCCCCCUUCCUGCUGCCAGGGCUGGGCCUGUGGCUGUGAUCUCAGGGGAGGGCUGUGGCCUGCAGCCUUGGGUCUGUGACAGAGAAGCCAAGGUGACCCUGUAACAUUUCAUCUAGGGAGAACUGUCACAACAGGGUCACAGACAUAACCCAGCUUGAACUGGCAGCCGGGGACCUGUUGAGAGCCAGGUGUCAGAAAUGGGUAAACAUCAAACGGUAUCUGAUUAAAAACAGGAGGAAGCUGGGCUCCUUGAUCAAUGACAAGGAGCCAAAGUCAGCUGAAUGGCGUUUAUGUCUAGAGGACUCAGAAGCCACAGUCUUAUGACCCAACUGAAGAAUAUUCAAAACAAGGCCAAGCUAUAGCAGUGCAUUUCC
rnacentral:lncRNA from 1 species